UACCAGCUCUCCGAGUGGUGUGGAUGUUUAUUGGGCCUAAAGCAUCCGUAGCUGGCUGUUCAAGUCCCCUGUUAAACCCAGCGAUUUAAUCGUUGGUUUGCGGGGGAUACUGUUCGGCUAGGGGGCGGGAGAGGCAGACGGUAUUUCCGGGGUAGGGGUGAAAUCCUAUAAUCCCGGGAAGACCACCAGUGGCGAAGGCUGUCUGCUAGAACGCGCCCGACGGUGAGGGAUGAAAGCUGGGGGAGCGAACCGG
rnacentral:rRNA from 1 species